rnacentral:rRNA from 1 species
UACAGGGGGGGCAAGCGUUGUUCGGAAUUACUGGGCGUAAAGCGCACGUAGGUGGUUUGUUAAGCCAGCUGUGAAAUCCCCGGGCUCAACCUGGGCACUGCGGUUGGAACUGGCAAGCUAGAGUAGGGUAGAGGGGUGUGGAAUUCCAGGUGUAGCGGUGAAAUGCGUAGAUAUCUGGAGGAACAUCAGUGGCGAAGGCGACACCCUGGACUCAUACUGACACUGAGGUGCGAAAGCGUGGGGAGCAAACAGG